UUUCAUGAUUAUUUUGUUGUUGUUACAUAAUGAACUGAGUUUUGCUAAUGGCUUCAGCGUCUGUGUGAUUUGGUUUGUUGUGUAUUCAAUGAGUUACCAUGUCCUAAAGGCUUAACUUCUGCCAUUUUUGCUGGAAAGAGCUGUUAGAGCAGUUUAGUGUCUUUUUAUGCAGAACUUGGACCAGGGAAUUUUGUUGUUGUCUCCUUAUCUACCAUUUGAGUUUUUUUGGUCCUAUAUACGACUUGGGCCAUAGAAAUGGAAAAUGCUCAUAUUAAGUUUGAUUGUUCAGUGCUUAAGGUAGCAGUGAUAUGCUUGCUAUAAAAAAUAAUUGAACUUUAACAAUCAUAGAGUUGAUCGAUUUGCCUUUACACCGUAUAUUUGAGUGCUGGCUCAAUGGUACUCAGAGUUGAUUUUAGCAAAAAGUGUGAAAAAAAAUAUAUUUGAUAUGCUCUGUAUGUUUAGGCAAAUUAUAUAUUUGGUUGUUUCGGAGUAUUUAUGGUUUUGGGGUUAUCAGUACAUGGUUUUGGGGUUACCAGUGAGUGCAUUGGUGCUUUGGAAAGGCAGCAUGGAGUCCAAGAAAAGCUGUUUGGUUAUGGUGGUUAAUAGAGAGCAGGGAUAGCUAUGGGCUUUUGUGGUGGAGUUGUGUAGUGCUUCUGUAUUUGGUUGAUCAAGUAGAGAAUAGAUGGAUUGAUCACUCAAAUCACUUUAAUUUAAUAGUUUCAGCUUUGACCCCAAAUUCCAGCCCCCACUGAACCUAUUUUCCAGAAGGAGGGGUUCCUGAAUAUUGAUCCUACUUUCUGUCUAUUUUUUGUUCCCAACCAAAUAAUCCUGAAAAGAAUGGCUUUUUUUUUUUUUUUUUUUUUUUUCUAUCCCAAAUAAAUCAUACAAAGAGAAUGAAUUUGUGUACCAGCAAUUAGAAAUGGCUAAGUAACAUAUCUACUACUCUUUUCAUAUAUAUUACAAUUCAUUUUCUCCAAAUGACUGAAAUAGUUGGAUUAAUUUUGUCAUCGUUCUUUCCAGGAAUUUAUGCACUUGCAACUGUCUCGACUGAAUCAGAUGAGAGAGUUGUAAUGAAUCAAACCACAUAUUACUACACCAGCAAGCAAUGUCCUUAUUCAUUGCUUCAUAAAUAUGUUCGGUACCAAGUUUUGGCAAGUAGCACAGCUGCAUCCUAAACACGUAUUUUUCUGACACAGAUAUGGCAUGGAGGCCAUCUACUUUGAUGGUGUAAGGAACCCAAGACGACACUAACUGGAAACGAGAGCAUUGGAUGUGACCAUUUGUGAGGACUUGAUAGCAGUAAAUAGAACAAAGAACCAGCUAAAGAUGCGGAGUCUAAACUGCUAUCGUCGACAAGUUUUUUGCGAAGUUUAACCAUUUUUUGUAAUAUGCACAUGUAUACCUACUUGGUUAGCAUGUGUUGAAAUCUAGCUAAAGUAUCCGACUUCAAAUAAUGUGUAACAUAUAUGUAAUUUUGAAAUCUGGCUAAAGUACCAGAUUUUAUAACAUGUAAAA